rnacentral:misc_RNA from 1 species
CUACGGUGCAUUUUUCCUUUUUCUUGUUGCCCUACUUUUUGGCGGGAUAUGGGCAUGCUGCAAGCUAAGGAAGAAGAGACAUCAAGAUGGUGUUGCGUAUCAGGAAUUAGAGAUGGGAAUGCCAGAAUCUGCCUCAGCUGCAAAUGUUGUUGCAGCAGAUGGUUGGGAUCAGGGUUGGGAUGAUGAUUGGGAUGAGGAGAAUGCAGUUAAGUCACCAGGUGGACAUACCUACGGGAACAUCUCUGCUAAUGGCCUCACCUCUAGGUCUUCUAAAAAGAACGG